CCUACGGGUGGCAGCAGUGGGGAAUAUUGCACAAUGGGGGAAACCCUGAUGCAGCGACGCCGCGUGAGUGAAGAAGUAAUUCGUUAUGUAAAGCUCUAUCAGCAGGGAAGAAAAUGACGGUACCUGAGUAAGAAGCCCCGGCUAACUACGUGCCAGCAGCCGCGGUAAUAAGUAGGGGGCAAGCGUUAUCCGGAUUUACUGGGUGUAAAGGGAGCGUAGACGGCAGUGCAAGUCUGGAGUGAAAGGCGGGGGCUCAACCCCCGGACUGCUCUGGAAACUGUACGGCUGGAGUGCAGGAGAGGUAAGUGGAAUUCCUAGUCGAGCGGUGAAAUGCGUAGAUAUUAGGAGGAACACCAGUGGCGAAGGCGGCUUACUGGACUGUAACUGACGUUGAGGCUCGAAAGCGUGGGGAGCAAACAGGAUUAGAUACCCGAGUAGUC
rnacentral:rRNA from 1 species